GAAGGAACUGAAGAUUUUUAAGCAUAGGAGUAUAGCUUUAGCUUUUUUAAG
rnacentral:tRNA from 1 species